GCAGCGGUCGCCAAGCUAGGUCAAAGGCGAAGGACUCAAGAUCGGGCGCUAAGGGUUUGAAGAGCCCCCUAUGAGCCAUCCUUUCCCGUAGGGGUUCGCUGGUUCAAAUCCGGCCCGCUGCA
rnacentral:tRNA from 1 species